GUAAUUUAACCCUAAUUUUUUAUAUUGUUAACAGGCUCCGGACUCAGAUGUUCAAGAAAAGAUAUCAUUUAUAAUUAAUAAUGUUUCUGCUGCUAAUAUUGAAGACAAAGCAAAAGUGUUUGCUGAAAUUUUGAAAGAGCAGUACUAUGGUUUGCACAGUAUAUGGUUAUGAAAAGAGCAAGCAUUGAGCCAAAUUUCCAUGACUUGUACUUGAAAUUCAUGGAUAAGGUUAAUUCAAAGGCUUUAAACAAAGAGAUUGUGCAGGCAAUUUAUGAAAAUUGCAAGGCUCUUUUAGGAUCAGAGCUCUUAAAAUCAAGUUUAGAAGAACGCUCUUUGGUUAAAAAUUUGGGGAGCUGGCUUGGG